rnacentral:ncRNA from 1 species
CUCUGUCUCUGUCGCUAUCACGCUCUACCUCCAACUACUAACUAGCUAUUGAAUGGGCACAUGCUUAUUGUUAUAUAUAUAUAUAUAUAGCUGGUUCGGACAAGGGGAAUUUGAAGAAUCGUGAUGGUCCCUACGGAUGGUGAUGUAAUGUGAUUUAUGCCCAGUGCUCUGAAUGUUAAAGUGAAGAAAUUCAACCAAGCACGGGUAAACAACGAGAGUAACUAUGAAUCUCUUAAGGUAUCCAAAUGUCUCGUCAUCUAAUUAGUGAUGCACAUGAAUGGAUUAACUAGAUUCCCGUUGUCUCUAUCUACUAUCUAGCGAAACCACAACCAAGGGAAAGGGCUUGGCAUAAUAAACAAGGAAAUAUGACCUUGUUGAGCUUGACUCUAGUCCAACGUUUUGAAAUUACUUGAGAGGUGUAGAAUAAGUGGGAGUAUUUUUAGGAAAAAAUGAAAUACCACUACUUUUAACAUUAUUUUACUUAUUUUGUGGGGCAGAGACAAGGCAUUUACCCUGUUUUUUCCCUUAAGACAGUUUUGAUGGGUCGAUCUGGGCAGAAGACAUUGUCACGUGGGGAUUUUGGAUGGGGUGAAACAUCUGUUAAAAUAUAACAUAAAAUAUAAUUGGUUUAUAUAGAACAAUUGUAUUUGGGAUAUCCUAGUGCACAACCACCCUUAUUACCUUUCCCUCCUAAUUUGUAGU